rnacentral:lncRNA from 1 species
AUGUCUCCUCUAUCAGACUCUGUGCUAUGUGAUGUGAGAGUAAUAGAUGCAUGUGUUAUUUUCCAGAAACAGUCCCCAAAUCUCAGUGAGCCUGGUUUUAGUUUUACACCUGGCCUUCCGAAUUUGGUAGCAGAAACACUUUUCCCAUUGACUGAGAUCAUGAGAUAUGGGAGACAGACAGACCUAGGUUCUGUGACUACACAUCUCUCAGCCUUUACUUCUUUGGAUAUGAAAUGAGGAUAAUGACACAGCACUUACAGUAUUGCCGUGAAGUAAAAAAAUGAGAUGAUGUCUGCAUAAAGCUGAAGAUGGUGCUGGCUGAAAAAGAAGGCUCAAUAAAUGCUCAAAGAAAUUGGGAGUACAUUAUAAUCUUGAUAUAAGUGGGAAGCCACAUGUGCCACAGUUAUGCCAGAAAGAUAGCUGGCAUUUUUCUUGAUUGAAAUAAGAAAUUGUGAAAUGUUUGUGGAAUGGUGCCUUGAAAAUAACAGGCAGGAAGACUGUGAGCGAAAGAGUGGUUUAUGUCAGGUAUCAUUCUCUGCAGACGCUGCAAACAUUGGGUGGACAUUAAUCUCUACAUAAAAUGGGACAAGAUUCACCACUGAAUGUAGAGAAAAAUGGGAUGAAGCGUGUCACCAUCUUUAAAUCGUUAGUCUCCAAAUAGAAAUGAUUUUGAAUUUGGCAUAUGGCACGUUGAUACCAAACUUGUAACCCGACACUGUUUUAGAUAUUUCAGAGCAGUCUCAUGACAUGUUAGAGCUGAAAGGAAUCUCAGAUGUCACCCGAAUGUUUUCCUUGACAGUUGAGGUUAAUGAGAAUUAGUAAGGCUCAAUCUGCAGUCACCCAGUUGUUAAUGACAGUGCCUAAGCUGAGACUUGCUCUCGUCCCUCCUGAGUGAAUGGUCUUUCCUUUCAUUGUUCCACUCGGUCUCCUAAACCUGACAUUGAAUGUCAAUAACCACAUUUCUUACAUCUCUCCCCAUUACAUUUUAUUCUAGGGUCCACUGGUAUUUUCUUGACUCUAAAUACAAUGUAAUAAUAUGGUAUUUCUUUAAAGACCAAGAUAUCAAACAUGGAGGUCGAACAAGAAACAUGUUCAGGUAAUAACUUCCACAUCUUCAUGGUCAGAUAUUUUUAUCUAUUAAAAAAUAUUACUCUCAAAGGGUGGAUCUAAGUAAUGAUUAUAUAUUUUUUAAAAUUCCGGCUUUAUUUCCAUGAAACAUGUAUA